rnacentral:rRNA from 1 species
UUUAACCCUGCUACUGCACUUUACACUAUCAAAAAACAGUUUAUGAGACGGUGGAGUGUAGGUACCAAAGUCGGAGGGUUUGGCGUAGAUCAUUAUAGGAGUACAGGCGUAGCUCAGUAGUUGGAGGUUGGGAAGUCGUCGACUACACAACGAAAGUCGAGGGUAGGUUUGUCUCUGUAAACGACGCUGUCUCCGAGUUUGUUUACGUCUUUACUUGUGCUUGUAUCUUUUUCUUUUAAGACGUCGUUACGGUCGGGGUUGGACGGAUAGAGGAGGGAGGGAGGGGGAGGUGGUGUGGCGGUAGCGGUGGCGGUAGCGGUCGUGCUCGGAGGAGAGGCCACCGGCGGCGGUGGCAGCGUCGGCGGGUGCCGUGUACAGUCCAGAGCACGAUGAAUUUCGGUUCCGGCCGCUACAGCUGCCGGUACAGCUGCCUCCCCUGCUCGCGGAGGACCGAUGCGCCGCUGUGCGCAUUCUUCGGCUGGCGGAAAGACGAGGCGCGCGACGAGAAGUAGACGCACCGUAAGGCGCAUCGGCGCCGCGAGUAGGCGCAAAACAUGGUGCAGCGGCGGCCGUCGCAGGAGCCGCACCGGUCCCAGGAGAAGCGCCGCCGCUUGCUCGCCACGGACGCCCCGUACCUGGCCCGCCGCGAGCCCACGCCCCCGAAGGAGCGCCUACGGUACCGGUUGAGCACCUCCCACGAGUACGUCCCCGAGCGCAGCGAGUACAAGGAGACGCGCGCGCGGCUACUCAUGCAGGCCGUCGGCGGCUCGGGCGAGCACGAGUGCCGGGUGCUGUUCGGCCGCCGAGUAGGAGUCGUCCACGUGUAAAGUUGACACCCUUCCCUGUUCUACUCCUAAAGUACCCAGUGACUGCUGGCCUCGUGCGGCAGCCACCACCUCAUGCCGCUUAGGGCCCCAUUGAUGUGGCGCAGCCGCUGCCCGCUGGUGCGCUGCAUGUUUAUGAAGAAGAUGCUCAGGCCGCGCUAGGUGGUGCACUGCUAGCCGGGCGACCGCGGGCCGUGCUGGAUGGUGAUGGCCACGCCGUUCCGGCCGCUGCUCGAGUGGGAGGCCUGGGGAGGCCGCAGCGAGGGCGAGCUCGAGCAGCAGUAGCCGCUGGACCCGGUCUGGGCCACCUGCCGCAGCUGCGACCGCGUGUAGCCGCUGCGCCUGAUGCUGUACGACGACGAGGGCCCGCUGGACAGCAUGCGCCUGUGCGUCGUCGGCGACACCCUGAGCAAGCCCGCCGACCACGUCGGCGACCGCUCGCGCGCCGGCACCUACCACUGCCUCCCGUUGGUGCUCCGCCUCCGCGAGGGGCAGCAGCCGAAGCGCGGGAAGCAGCGGAUGUUGCGCGCCACCGCGUACGGCGUGCUCCUCUCGCCGAGGCGGAGGUUGGAGAUGAUGAGGAAGCUGCGCCGGCCGCCGCGCCGCGUGCAGCACUACGACCCGAGGAUGCGGCUCAAGCUCCUCCCCAGCCGCGUCGCGCGCACCGACCUCGCCCUGGAGCGGCCGCACCUGGCCGCCUCCUGCGGCACCGACGACCACGACGACGUGCGCGGCACCAUGUUGUGGUUGGUCCGGGUGGUCCCCCUCCCGCUCCGCUACGCGCGGCGGUACCUCUCGGAGGAGAUGCUCCGGGCGCAGCUGCAGCAGAAGAGGCCGGUGCAGGUGCGGAUGCUCGCUAAGUGCUCCCAGAUACUGUUGCUCCGGCUGCCGGCCCCGGGCUACAUGUAUUGGUAGCCGCUGCCGCCGUUGUCUCUUCCCGAACGAGAGUUCAAGGACCUCCUAGUGUUCAGCCGCGUGGACAGCCACAAGGUCCUCCGCUCGAAACCCGUGCCGGCCGACUCCGAGCAGCUGCUCUGCUCGCGGCAGACCUGCACCGUGGCGUUGCUGCUGCUUAUGCGGUGGCAGGCGCUGCUCCAGACCAACCUCUCGAACCGAUCAGGUUUCGAUAGGUACCGUCGGCAGCCAGCAGUCCUGCUCCUCAACAUCUUACAACGUCUAGUCAUUUGUGGGGUGACAACCCCGGCGACCCUUUAGUUUGAGAAAUUAACCCAGUAUUCUGUUGUGAAAGUGAUCAUGUCUUACUACGAGUGUCAAGCAAGCUUUGUGCGCACACUAUUCAGCUCUAUUGUGUGUGUUAACUUUAAGUUCUUGGCACGCACAAGUACCCGUUUGAUAGUACAAGUUG